rnacentral:rRNA from 1 species
UACGUAGGGUGCAAGCGUUGUCCGGAAUUAUUGGGCGUAAAGAGCUCGUAGGCGGUCUGUCGCGUCGGCUGUGAAAUCCCGGGGCUCAACCCCGGGCCUGCAGUCGAUACGGGCAGACUAGAGUGCGGUAGGGGAGACUGGAAUUCCUGGUGUAGCGGUGAAAUGCGCAGAUAUCAGGAGGAACACCAGUGGCGAAGGCGGUGCUCUGGGCCGGUACUGACGCUGAGGAGCGAAAGCGUGGGGAGCAAACAGG